UACGUAGGGGGGCAAGCGUUGUCCGGAUUUAUUGGGCGUAAAGAGCGUGUAGGCGGCUUUACAGGUCCGUUGUGAAAACUCGAGGCUCAACCUCGAGACGCCGGUGGAAACCGUAAAGCUAGAGUCCGGAAGAGGAGAGUGGAAUUCCCGGUGUAGCGGUGAAAUGCGCAGAUAUCGGGAAGAACACCCGUGGCGAAGGCGGCUCUCUGGGACGGUACUGACGCUGAGACGCGAAAGCGUGGGGAGCGAACAGG
rnacentral:rRNA from 1 species